rnacentral:rRNA from 1 species
UACGUAGGGGGCAAGCGUUGUCCGGAAUUAUUGGGCGUAAAGAGCGUGUAGGCGGUCCGGUAAGUCAGCUGUGAAAGUCAAGGGCUCAACCCUUGAAAGCCGGUUGAUACUGUCGGGCUAGAGUCCGGAAGAGGCGAGUGGAAUUCCCGGUGUAGUGGUGAAAUGCGCAGAUAUCGGGAGGAACACCAAUGGCGAAGGCAGCUCGCUGGGACGGUACUGACGCUGAGACGCGAAAGCGUGGGGAGCAAACAGG